rnacentral:tRNA from 1 species
GCCCCGUUAGCUCAGAAGGUUAGAGCACCGACCUGCUAAGUUGGGGGGCAUGGGUUCAAGUCCCAUACGGGGCG